UACGGAGGGUGCAAGCGUUAUCCGGAUUCACUGGGUUUAAAGGGUGCGUAGGUGGGCAAGUAAGUCAGUGGUGAAAUCUCCGGGCUUAACCCGGAAACUGCCAUUGAUACUAUUUGUCUUGAAUACUGUGGAGGUCAGCGGAAUAUGUCAUGUAGCGGUGAAAUGCUUAGAUAUGACAUAGAACACCAAUUGCGAAGGCAGCUGGCUACUCGGAUAUUGACACUGAGGCACGAAAGCGUGGGGAUCAAACAGG
rnacentral:rRNA from 1 species